rnacentral:rRNA from 1 species
UACAGGGGGUGCAAACGUUGCUCGGAAUCAUUGGGCGUAAAGCGCACGUAGGCGGUUUGUUAUGUCGGAUGUGAAAGCCCACGGCUCAACCAUGGAAGUGCAUCCGAAACUGCUGAGCUUGAGUACUUAAGAGGAUCGCGGAAUUCCCGGUGUAGAGGUGAAAUUCGUAGAUAUCGGGAGGAACACCAGUGGCGAAGGCGGCGACCUGGGAAGAUACUGACGCUGAGGUGCGAAAGCGUGGGGAGCAAACAGG